rnacentral:other from 1 species
GGUCGGCUGCCCGGCCCGUCAGGACGACAUUCCCCGGGGCCUUAUCCAACCGAACGGGAGCUGCCUCUGACUAGGACCGUGGUCCUUCUUACGCGGCGCCCACCUGAACCUUAGGGUCCAGGGCGAACACCAAGUCCAACGGCCAGGGCGGCGCCUU